CUAGGAGAUAACAUGGGGGUGUUCCUCAUCAGAGGAUACCUAGGAGAUAACAUGGGGGGGUGGAUGGGGGUAGAGUGCAUAUGUCAUACAUUUUGGCAAAGCUUUCAUGUACAGUACAAAUGUUUGUGUAUGUGUGUGUGUGUGUGUGUAUGUGUGUGUGGGUUGGGGGGAUUGUGUGUGUGUGGGUUGGGGGGGUAACUCUUUGAAGGACUCAUUCUGUUUUAUUAAAAGGAGAGGUUGACCUGUUAUCACCGUUCUAGAGACUACAUCCUGUCAAUCUAUUAAAGGAGAGGUUUCUGUCAAUCUAUUAAAGGAGAGGUUUCUGUCAAUCUAUUAAAGGAGAGAUUUCAGGGACCUGUUAUCACCGUUCUAGAGACUACAUCCUGUUAAUCUAUUAAAGGAGAGGUUUCAGGGACCUGUUAUCACUGUUCUAGAGACUACAUCCUGUUAAUCUAUUAAAGGAGAGGUUUCUGUCAAUAUAUUAAAGGAGAGGUUUCUGUCAAUCUAUUAAAGGAGAGGUUUCUGUCAAUCUAUUAAAGGAGAGGUUUC
ensembl:lncRNA